rnacentral:rRNA from 1 species
AGUAGGGAAUCUUCCGCAAUGGACGAAAGUCUGACGGAGCAACGCCGCGUGAGUGAUGAAGGUUUUCGGAUCGUAAAGCUCUGUUGCCAGGGAAGAAUGCUUGGGAGAGUAACUGCUCUCAAGGUGACGGUACCUGAGAAGAAAGCCACGGCUAACUACGUGCCAGCAGCCGCGGUAAUACGUAGGUGGCAAGCGUUGUCCGGAAUUAUUGGGCGUAAAGCGCGCGCAGGUGGUUCCUUAAGUCUGAUGUGAAAGCCCACGGCUCAACCGUGGAGGGUCAUUGGAAACUGGGGAACUUGAGUGCAGAAGAGGAAAGUGGAAUUCCAAGU